ensembl:snoRNA SNORA62 Small nucleolar RNA SNORA62/SNORA6 family
UUAGCACACCAUUAAAGCCGGGCACUGAUGUCGGUGUUUCGGUGUCGGAAGUGUGCGAGAGUGACUCGGCCGGGUUUUCGCUAACAUCAGUAGGACGGCUGUCCCAUGACUGGAGUUUGAUAGUGACCUGCGCCACAGUU